rnacentral:rRNA from 1 species
GACGAACGCUGGCGGCGUGCUUAACACAUGCAAGUCGAACGGUGAAGGGACCAGCUUGCUGGUUCUGGAUGAGUGGCGAACGGGUGAGUAACACGUGAGUAACCUGCCCCCUUCUUCUGGAUAACCGCAUGAAAGUGUGGCUAAUACGGGAUAUUCUGGGUCUGUCGCAUGGCGGGCCCGGGAAAGAUAUUGCUUCGGUGGGGGAUGGGCUCGCGGCCUAUCAGCUUGUUGGUGGGGUGAUGGCCUACCAAGGCGGUGACGGGUAGCCGGCCUGAGAGGGUGGACGGUCACACUGGGACUGAGACACGGCCCAGACUCCUACGGGAGGCAGCAGUGGGGAAUAGUGCACAAUGGGCGCAAGCCUGAUGCAGCGACGCCGCGUGAGGGAUGGAGGCCUUCGGGUUGUAAACCUCUUUCGCCAGUGAAGCAGGCCUGCUCCUUGUGGGUGGGUUGACGGUAGCUGGAGAAGAAGCGCCGGCUAACUACGUG